UACAGAGGUGGCAAGCGUUGUUCGGAAUUACUGGGCGUAAAGGGCGCGUAGGCGGCCUUCUAAGUCAGACGUGAAAUCCCCCGGCUUAACCUGGGAACUGCGUCUGAUACUGGAAGGCUUGAGUGCGGGAGAGGGAUGUGGAAUUCCAGGUGUAGCGGUGAAAUGCGUAGAUAUCUGGAGGAACACCGGUGGCGAAGGCGGCAUCCUGGACCGACACUGACGCUGAGGAGCGAAAGCCAGGGGAGCAAACGGG
rnacentral:rRNA from 1 species